UACGAGGGGGGCAAGCGUUGUUCGGAAUCACUGGGCGUAAAGCGCACGUAGGCGGAUUGUUAAGUCAGGGGGGAAAUCCUGGAGCUCAACUCCAGAACUGCCUUUGAUACUGGCGAUCUUGAGUCCGGGAGAGGUGAGUGGAACUCCGAGUGUAGAGGUGAAAUUCGUAGAUAUUCGGAAGAACACCAGUGGCGAAGGCGGCUCACUGGCCCGGUACUGACGCUGAUGUGCGAAAGCGUGGGGAGCAAACAGG
rnacentral:rRNA from 1 species